rnacentral:rRNA from 1 species
UACGGAGGAUCCAAGCGUUAUCCGGAUUUAUUGGGUUUAAAGGGUGCGUAGGCGGCUUAUUAAGUCAGUGGUGAAAUCCUGGAGCUUAACUCCAGAACUGCCAUUGAUACUGAUGAGCUUGAGUACAGUUGAGGUAGGCGGAAUGUGUCAUGUAGCGGUGAAAUGCUUAGAUAUGACACAGAACACCGAUUGCGAAGGCAGCUUGCUAAACUGUAACUGACGCUGAGGCACGAAAGCGUGGGUAGCAAACAG